rnacentral:lncRNA from 1 species
CUACACGAACUAGGCAUGGUGGGAAUGACUUAACUAAGUGCAAUGACGCCAACAUGAUAUAAUUCUGAGGCAUCAUUCUCUAGAGGCCAAAUAAGAUGGGUACUUGCAUUAGUUGCAAAUGAGUAAGCGUACUCUCUCAUUAUUAUUAACGCUAGCCAACAUGAUAUAAUUCUGAGGUGGGCUUGGUAAUAGUGAGCCUCCCAUAACCUACUAAGAGUUUCCUCCAAAACUCUCGAAUUCCAAUGAGGGAUAUGGAAUUUGCCAAAAAUAGUGGGUGGUGCUAUUUGAUUUAAAGACCCGAAUCAAAUGGCUUAAAAUCAAUCAAUUUAUAUUCGUUAUGUAUUUGUUUACCAAUAUAUUUGCAAACGUUAUCCAACACUUGACAAAGAAAAGCCGAAUGCUUUAGUUUCCGGACUUGGUAACACAAUCCUAAAGAUUGUCUUAAAUGGAUUGUAUAUGUACCUAAGUAGUCUCAUCCUCAAAAUCGUUCUAUUGGUAAUGUAUCAUUGAAAGAACAUGUUAGAUAAGUCUAUCAUGAAGAGGACAACACAAACAACCAAUGCUUAAUCCUUUGUUAAAUGAACAAAGGAACUUACGAAGAUUAGCAUAAUGACAAGGACACUUUUAGUGUUAUUAGUUCUUCACUUACAAAUCGUUGUAUGAAGAAAUAAUAGUUGCUUUGAACAACCCUUAGCCAAUGCAAACACUAGUGCUUGUUUCUUUGUUAAAUGAACAAAGAACUUGAGAAGAAAGCACAAAGGCAUGGACACUUAAUGUGCCAUGAUUCUUCACUUACAAAUUGUUGUAUGAAGAAAUGAGAGUUGCCUUGUACAACUCUUGAAGGUUUGUAAUUAUGUUUAGAACAUAAUGGUUGGUUGACAAAAAUAGUCCAUUAACAUGGACUUAUGAUGAUUUUGAAUCAUUGAGUGUUGAAGUGAUAAACCACUUAGCGAGACGGAAACUAGGCAAGGACUUCACCUUUGUGUCCCUAUCCUUUGGUUCACUAAGUUUAUUGUAAACUAUGUAGUAUACAAUAACCACAUGCUCUCCAAAAUGUUUGAUGUGUAUAACACAAUUGAAAUAAAGUUUCAAGAGAGAUAGUGGGAGUUUAGGGACCAUGACUAAUGUAGUCAAAGGUGAAAGUCAAAUGAAGAAGAUAAGAAUUAACUCCAAGGGAACAAACUUUCUUUAUGAAAGGAUGGACAUUGGAAGGGGUAUUUGCAAGAAAUGUCUUGCAAGUGUCAAGAACACGCCUUUCGAAGGUGUUGUAAAUUGUUCUUGAAUAGUUCAAAACAGUUGGUUCUUCUACUUGAAUGCUUGAUUCCGUAUUAGUAACUAUGUUUUACAAUCGUUGUAAAAGUGUGACUAAUAAGAAGUAAAAGAUAUAUGAGAGAAGAAAAAGGUGCUUCACAUUCGGAACGUGAAUCAAAUAUAGAUCUCUGUGAAAGCAGAUGGUACUUACUUCCUCAUAUGAACUACCAAAGAAAUUGGAAAAACAUAGAUUGUCUUUAUAUUCCAAUUUUAAGGAACUAAAUUCCGUCACUAUGUGAAAUGGAUAAAUGUUUUGUUUUGACAAAACAAUGUUCUUUAUUAAUCAAUGAUUGGAUUAUAGUAAUCUAAUUAAUUGUCUCUAUAGUAGAGAUGAUAUGGUAGUGUUAACUGUUUAGAAUAUAAUGAUGCUUAAAACCCAAAAGGUUGCAAGGUAGUGACUAAUCCCAACUAAAGUUGUGAUACCUCUAAAGCAUAAAUUACGAGUUGGUCAUAGAUGGACGCUUUGGAUCGUUAGAUCCGGAUCCAAUACCUU